AUCAUGGCUCAGAUUGAACGCUGGCGGCAGGCCUAACACAUGCAAGUCGAGCGGUAACAUUUCUAGCUUGCUAGAAGAUGACGAGCGGCGGACGGGUGAGUAAUGCUUGGGAAUAUGCCUUAGGGUGGGGGACAACAGUUGGAAACGACUGCUAAUACCGCAUAACGUCUACGGACCAAAGGGGGCUUCGGCUCUCGCCCUUAGAUUAGCCCAAGUGGGAUUAGCUAGUUGGUGAGGUAAUGGCUCACCAACGGCGACGAUCCCUAGCUGGUUUGAGAGGAUGAUCA
rnacentral:rRNA from 1 species